rnacentral:rRNA from 1 species
UCCCAGACUCCUACGGGAGGCAGCAGUGGGGGAUAUUGCACAAUGGGGGGAACCCUGAUGCAGCGACGCCGCGUGGGUGAAGGAGUGCUUCGGCAUGUAAAGCCCUAUCGGCAGGGAAGAAGCAAGACGGUACCUGACUAAGAAGCCCCGGCUAACUACGUGCCAGCAGCCGCGGUAAUACGUAGGGGGCAAGCGUUAUCCGGAUUUACUGGGUGUAAAGGGGGCGCAGACGGCAGCGCAAGCCAGGAGUGAAAGCCCGGGGCCCAACCCCGGGACUGCUCUUGGAACUGCGCGGCUGGAGUGCAGGAGGGGCAGGCGGAAUUCCUGGUGUAGCGGUGAAAUGCGUAGAUAUCAGGAGGAACACCGGUGGCGAAGGCGGUCUGCUGGACAGCAACUGACGCUGAGGCGCGAAAGCGUGGGGAGCAAACAGGAUUAGAUACCCCGGUAA